rnacentral:rRNA from 1 species
CCUACGGGUGGCAGCAGUAGGGAAUAUUGGACAAUGGGCGAAAGCCUGAUCCAGCCAUGCCGCGUGAUAGAUGAAGGCCCUCUGGGUUGUAAAUAUCUUUUAUCUGGGAAGAAACAAUCUUAUUCUUAAGAUCUUGACGGUACCAGAGGAAUAAGCACCGGCUAACUCCGUGCCAGCAGCCGCGGUCAUACGGAGGGUGCAAGCGUUACUCGGUUUCACUGGGGCGAAGGGGUGCGUAGAAGUCCUGAGUGAAAGCUCCGAGCUUAACUUGGAAACUGCCAGUGAUACUGCCAGUCUUGAAUGUCGUAGAGGUAAGCGGAAUGUUGCAUGUAGCGGUGAAAUGCUUAGAUAUGUUACAGAACACCAAUUGCGAAGGCAGCUUACUAUGCGAUGAUUGACGCUGAGGCACGAAAGCGUGGGGAGCAAACAGGAUUAGAUACCCGUGUAGUC